UCUGACUCCUCAGUGCCCUCUGGCUACCUGGAAGCUGGGUGAUGGGGAACUGCAGUGGGACAUCCUAGGUUGGGCAAGGGUGGGGUUGCUGAACACAAAGCCCGAAGUCACCCCGACUCUCUCUCUCUCUCAGUUCCGCAUCUACUUCAUGUACUUCCUGACGCUGUCCAUCAUCUGCCUUGCCUGGGCUGGGCUGGACGGCUUGAGGUACUACCGGCGUGGUCGCCACCAGCCGCUGGCCCAGGCCCAGGCUCUGAGUCCCUUGGAGGAUUCUGUGCAGGCGAUAAGCCUACAGGAUGGAGACCUAAGGAGACCGCAGCCCUCGGCACCACAGCUGCUCCCAGAGGAUGGCAGCGUAGAAGACGGCAGGGCAGACUUGAGAGUCGAAGCCAAGGCCUGACCUGUCUUCACCUUCCUGGCUUCAUCCCAGUUCAGCCGCCGGAUUCCUGACUCAGUGGCAGCCCCUCCUGUGUGCACUCCAGCCUGAAUCAGCCCUUCUGGGGUCCCAGUGCCUGAGACAUGUGGGGGCCCCCCUGUUGCCUUUCAGGAGCCUUCAGGUUAGGCCACAGAACUCUCUCCUUAGGGGCCACCUUUUUAAACAGUGGGGCGACAGACAGCUUGUCCUUCCGGUAGCCUCUGAGGACCCUAAGCCCAGCCUACUUCAUGCUUUAGCAAUGGCUGGAGCCUGCUACAGACACUCAGGACCGCUCCCUGGCUUUUGUGAACCACAAUGUCAGGCCACUACGAGCCUGGGUUGCCUACUGCUUGCCAAGAAGAACCUGUGUAGGGGUCAGCUGUGCCCACCAGGCUGGUCUGCCCUUUGCUCUGGGAUGCUCAGGACAAAUCACGUCUGCCCCCAGGGCUAGUGAGGUAGCCCAGACACCGGACAAGGUCCGCUGAGCCUGCAGGGUACUGGUUACCUGUCCUAGGCUCCUGGUGAAGCUGCCAUACCUCCACUCUCGGAGGUGCUUGUUUGAAUGGUUGUCUGAUUUUUUAAAACUUGACAUUAAAAUGGAGAACU
rnacentral:lncRNA from 1 species